UCGUUAAGGCUGAGCUGUGAUGGGGAGAAGACAUUGAGUCUUCGAGUCGUUGAUUUCACACUGCCGAGAAAAGCCUCUAGAUAGAAAAUAGGUGCCCGUACCGCAAACCGACACAGGUAGUCAAGAUGAGAAUUCUAAGGUGAGCGAGCGAACUCUCGUUAAGGAACUCGGCAAAAUGACCCCGUAACUUCGGGAGAAGGGGUGCUCUUUAGGGUUAACGCCCAGAAGAGCCGCAGUGAAUAGGCCCAAGCGACUGUUUAUCAAAAACACAGGUCUCUGCUAAACCGUAAGGUGAUGUAUAGGGGCUGACGCCUGCCCGGUGCUGGAAGGUUAAGAGGAGUGGUUAGCUUCUGCGAAGCUACGAAUCGAAGCCCCAGUAAACGGCGGCCGUAACUAUAACGGUCCUAAGGUAGCGAAAUUCCUUGUCGGGUAAGUUCCGACCCGCACGAAAGGCGUAACGAUUUGGGCACUGUCUCAACGAGAGACUCGGUGAAAUCAUAGUACCUGUGAAGAUGCAGGUUACCCGCGACAGGACGGAAAGACCCCGUGGAGCUUUACUGUAGCCUGAUAUUGAAAUUCGGCACAGCUUGUACAGGAUAGGUAGGAGCCUUUGAAACGUGAGCGCUAGCUUACGUGGAGGCGCUGGUGGGAUACUACCCUAGCUGUGUUGGCUUUCUAACCCGCACCACUUAUCGUGGUGGGAGACAGUGUCAGGCGGGCAGUUUGACUGGGGCGGUCGCCUCCUAAAAGGUAACGGAGGCGCUCAAAGGUUCCCUCAGAAUGGUUGGAAAUCAUUCAUAGAGUGUAAAGGCAUAAGGGAGCUUGACUGCGAGACCUACAAGUCGAGCAGGGUCGAAAGACGGACUUAGUGAUCCGGUGGUUCCGCAUGGAAGGGCCAUCGCUCAACGGAUAAAAGCUACCCCGGGGAUAACAGGCUUAUCUCCCCCAAGAGUUCACAUCGACGGGGAGGUUUGGCACCUCGAUGUCGGCUCAUCGCAUCCUGGGGCUGUAGUCGGUCCCAAGGGUUGGGCUGUUCGCCCAUUAAAGCGGUACGCGAGCUGGGUUCAGAACGUCGUGAGACAGUUCGGUCCCUAUCCGUCGUGGGCGUAGGAAAUUUGAGAGGAGCUGUCCUUAGUACGAGAGGACCGGGAUGGACAUACCUCUGGUGUACCAGUUGUCGUGCCAACGGCAUAGCUGGGUAGCUAUGUGUGGACGGGAUAAGUGCUGAAAGCAUCUAAGCAUGAAGCCCCCCUCAAGAUGAGAUUUCCCAACUUCGGUUAUAAGAUCCCUCAAAGAUGAUGAGGUUAAUAGGUUCGAGGUGGAAGCAUGGUGACAUGUGGAGCUGACGAAUACUAAUCGAUCGAAGACUUAAUCAA
rnacentral:rRNA from 1 species